rnacentral:rRNA from 1 species
UACGUAGGGUGCGAGCGUUAAUCGGAAUUACUGGGCGUAAAGCGUGCGCAGGCGGUGAUGUAAGACAGAUGUGAAAUCCUCGGGCUCAACCUGGGAACUGCAUUUGUGACUGCAUCGCUGGAGUGCGGCAGAGGGGGAUGGAAUUCCGCGUGUAGCAGUGAAAUGCGUAGAUAUGCGGAGGAACACCGAUGGCGAAGGCAAUCCCCUGGGCCUGCACUGACGCUCAUGCACGAAAGCGUGGGGAGCAAACAGG